GUGGGGAAUCUUAGACAAUGGGGGCAACCCUGAUCUAGCCAUGCCGCGUGAUCGAUGAAGGCCUUAGGGUUGUAAAGAUCUUUCAGCUGGGAAGAUAAUGACGGUACCAGCAGAAGAAGCCCCGGCUAACUCCGUGCCAGCAGCCGCGGUAAUACGGAGGGGGCUAGCGUUGUUCGGAAUUACUGGGCGUAAAGCGCACGUAGGCGGAUUGGAAAGUUGGGGGUGAAAUCCCGGGGCUCAACCCCGGAACUGCCUUCAAAACUCCCAGUCUUGAGGUCGAGAGAGGUGAGUGGAAUUCCGAGUGUAGAGGUGAAAUUCGUAGAUAUUCGGAGGAACAUCAGUGGCGAAGGCGGCUCACUGGCUCGAUACUGACGCUGAGGUGCGAAAGCGUGGGGAGCAAACAGGAUUAGAUACCCGGGUAGUCC
rnacentral:rRNA from 1 species